AGAUCAUGGAGCAUUCAGCACAUAGUAGGAGCCAAAUGUUUAUAUGACCGAGAUAUUCAAAUUAUGUAGAAUAAGACAAAUAAAAGAUGGACAACUGGAUCAGUACUUGCAUGUAGGAUAACUCCCAAGUUUAUGCACCUUUGUAUCUGGGUGUGAAUCUGGCGGAAGUCAGGUUUGACCAACUAUCCUUGGAGAAUUUAUAAUAAGCAGUUGCUCCUGUGGCGUCCUCUCUUCUGUUCACCACAUACGUCUCCUCAGUGAUGCUGAACAGCUCUUUGGUCCCUGGAAAUGCCAUUAGAGACUUCCAGAAAACUUUGUUGAGGUCUAGGAAAGUUUGAUGGCUAAGAGCAUGGACUCCGAACCAGACCGCCUGAGUCUGAAUCCUGGUUCUGACACUCAUCAGCGACAUGUUUUUAGUUCAAUUAUAAAAAACACAGGGCCUGCCCUGUUUAGGGAGGCAAAAAUCUUACACUGUGGGAUCUCAGGAACUGACUCUUCGCCAUACCCACUUUACAAAAGCUGGCCCUACUUAUGCUGGGAAUUCCUUCAACAGAGGAAAACAUGCUGCAUUGCCCUGCUUGAGGGGAAGGAUACAGUGCCCAAACCAGAGUGAGACAUUAAUAAGCAUGAACUCCUGGACUCAAGCAGUCCUCCUGCUUCAGCCUCCUGAGUAGCUGGGACUACAGAUGUACACCCUGUGCCUGGCUAGGCAUGAAUCUUUUUAACCACAGGUGCAUGAAAACUCCGUGGAAAAUGCAAGUCUUAUAUCCGCCAUUCCAGCCAGGGUGGCUGCUGCACUUCUGGAGUGGAGUGUGAGGGGUUAAUUAGAAAGAGGUACUUAAAUGAAACAGAAUUCUUGUGGCUCUCUAAUAUCUGCACUUUUCUUAAAACAUACAAAUCCUGUUUGGCAAGGAAAUCACAAAAGUAGAAACGGCAGGGAUUUUCUUAAAGCGUGGUUUUGUACAAUUUCCAAUUAAUUUACUGCCUAUCCAACCACUGUCGAAUUGGAAAUGCUUUUAUUAACAUAUAGCACCCUAGGACUUCUUGAAAGUGUUAAGGCUUGAAAGUAAAUCAAAAGAAAAGGGAAAAAAUGGAAAAGGGAUGAGAGAAAACCCUCUAUCACAUACACACACACACACAAACACACACAGACACACACACACACACUUAAUUUAAAGUACUUGCACAGUGGGUUAGCAUGGGACACCCAGGUUGCAUUAAUACAUUUCAGAAAGCAGGUGUCUUUAAACUGAAAGCUCAGAAGUUGGCUCCCUUCCAGACUCCUGUAAUAUGCUGUGAUAACCUCAAAGUUUCAAAAAAAUAAAAUUGAUGCUUGAUGUUGCUCUCA
rnacentral:lncRNA from 13 species